AACGAACGCUGGCGGCAUGCCUAACACAUGCAAGUCGAACGAGACCUUCGGGUCUAGUGGCGCACGGGUGCGUAACGCGUGAGAACCUGCCCUUAGGUUCGGAAUAACUCCCCGAAAGGGGUGCUAAUACCGGAUAAUGUCUUCGGACCACAGAUUUAUCGCCUUUGGAUGGGCCCGCGUUGGAUUAGCUAGUUGGUAGUGUAAAAGCCUACCACGGCGACGAUCCAUAGCUGGUCUGAGAGGAUGAUCAGCCACACUGGGACUGAGACACGGCCCAGACUCCUACGGGAGGCAGCAGUGGGGAAUAUUGGACAAUGGGCGAAAGCCUGAUCCAGCAAUGCCGCGUGAGUGAUGAAGGCCUUAGGGUUGUAAAGCUCUUUUACCCGGGAUGAUAAUGACAGUACCGGGAGAAUAAGCUCCGGCUAACUCCGUG
rnacentral:rRNA from 1 species